rnacentral:tRNA from 1 species
UUCCUCAUAGCUCAGUUGGUAAAGAAUCUGCCUGCAAUGCAGGAGACCUGGGUUUGAUUCCUGGGUAGGGAA